rnacentral:rRNA from 1 species
GAUUGAACGCUGGCGGCAGGCCUAACACAUGCAAGUCGAACGGUAACAGGAAGCAGCUUGCUGCUUCGCUGACGAGUGGCGGACGGGUGAGUAAUGUCUGGGAAACUGCCUGAUGGAGGGGGAUAACUACUGGAAACGGUAGCUAAUACCGCAUAACGUCGCAAGACCAAAGAGGGGGACCUUCGGGCCUCUUGCCAUCGGAUGUGCCCAGAUGGGAUUAGCUAGUAGGUGGGGUAACGGCUCACCUAGGCGACGAUCCCUAGCUGGUCUGAGAGGAUGACCAGCCACACUGGAACUGAGACACGGUCCAGACUCCUACGGGAGGCAGCAGUGGGGAAUAUUGCACAAUGGGCGCAAGCCUGAUGCAGCCAUGCCGCGUGUAUGAAGAAGGCCUUCGGGUUGUAAAGUACUUUCAGCGGGGAGGAAGGCGAUAAGGUUAAUAACCUUGUCGAUUGACGUUACCCGCAGAAGAAGCACCGGCUAACUCCGUGCCAGCAGCCGCGGUAAUACGGGAGGGUGCAAGCGUUAAUCGGAAUUACUGGGGCGUAAAGCGGCACGCAGGCGGUCUGUCAAGUCGGAUGUGAAAUCCCCGGGCUCAACCUGGGAACUGCAUUCGAAAACUGGCAGGCUAGAGUCUUGUAGAGGGGGGGGUAGAAUUCCCAGGUGUAGCGGUGAAAUGCGUAGAGAUCUGGAGGAAUACCCGGUGGCGAAGGCGGCCCCCUGGACAAAGACUGACGCUCAGGUGCGAAAGCGUGGGGAGCAAACAGGAUUAGAUACCCUGGUAGUCCACGCCGUAAACGAUGUCGACUUGGAGGUUGUGCCCUUGAGGCGUGGCUUCCGGAGCUAACGCGUUAAGUCGACCGCCUGGGGAGUACGGCCGCAAGGUUAAAACUCAAAUGAAUUGACGGGGGCCCGCACAAGCGGUGGAGCAUGUGGUUUAAUUCGAUGCAACGCGAAGAACCUUACCUACUCUUGACAUCCAGAGAACUUUCCAGAGAUGGAUUGGUGCCUUCGGGAACUCUGAGACAGGUGCUGCAUGGCUGUCGUCAGCUCGUGUUGUGAAAUGUUGGGUUAAGUCCCGCAACGAGCGCAACCCUUAUCCUUUGUUGCCAGCGGUUAGGCCGGGAACUCAAAGGAGACUGCCAGUGAUAAACUGGAGGAAGGUGGGGAUGACGUCAAGUCAUCAUGGCCCUUACGAGUAGGGCUACACACGUGCUACAAUGGCGCAUACAAAGAGAAGCGACCUCGCGAGAGCAAGCGGACCUCAUAAAGUGCGUCGUAGUCCGGAUUGGAGUCUGCAACUCGACUCCAUGAAGUCGGAAUCGCUAGUAAUCGUGGAUCAGAAUGCCACGGUGAAUACGUUCCCGGGCCUUGUACACACCGC